rnacentral:lncRNA from 1 species
AAAAAAACGGACGUUCCGAUUGAAAUGCGUCAUUUAUUCGUUUUUUUAUUCGACAAGCGGUUUCAUUUGUCUGUUUUUUUGAAGAGAAUCCAAUUAUUGUCAAUCCAACUUUUCAAUGAAUACUUUCGCACUCCUUUCUGAUCCAUCAGUUUUUUAGGCGACAGGUGACAUAGGUAUUUCGGCGGUGGAAAAUGUGUUUUUACUGCUUUGAAGAGAGGCGCGGGUAUGUGCAGAAUUUCUGACUUAAUUAUUUCGCGUCCAGUGACGAAAAAUUUUCAACUGAAUGGUCAACAUUACAAACAAGCUGGAAAGACGUAUAGGAGAAAUGCAUCCGUCUAAGAGACGGGACAAACGACACGAUUUGCAUUCACAGCCACUGCCGCCGCCCAGAUGAGGGCCAGCAUAACGCCGCACAUCAAUGGAGCUCUGCUGUUGGCCUUCUCGUUCUGGCUGGGGAGACUGGGGGACUGCCGGAGUGCGAACAACGACUUCUUCGACAACAUCCCGGUGGACAACAGCCCGUGGCAGCCGAUCACGGCCAACCGGGACGCGCCGAGGCCCUCAUCGCCCAAGUUCCCGCCCGUCCGCUACCCCAACGUCCCCAACCACCCGCCACCGCAACCCCAAUGGCUCGCCCCCUUCAACCGCCCACCGGCGCCCACUACGGAGAAGUUCCCCAAACCCAAGUUCCCGUCCUCGGUCGACGGCUAUAAGUCUUACUCCCCCGGGCCGCUCUACAACCCGAACAAGGACUUCUUCGACUCGCAGCCGCCCUUCAGCCCUUUUGACGACUUGAGGCCCAAGCUCACGAAAGAGGCGCCCAGACCCCGGCCGACGACGCCGCCCGCCUUCGACGCUUUCGCCGACUCCCGCAAGAAGCUCAAGUUCCCCCCGCCGACCGGGAGCAGCGAGAAGCUCAACUCCCUCAAGACCGCCGGGCGCUACCCGCCGCUGGAGACGGAGCAGAACGCGGUGGCCAACGAGACGGAAGCGCACGCGAACAAGCGGGGGCAGUCCAAGUUCCACCAGAACAGCGUGGCCGUGCGGGAGGCGCCGCCGGGGCAGCGGGGCGCCCAGAACCGGACGAAGGCGCCGGCGCCCGCGGCGAACGAGCUGAAGCCGCAGACGCACGUCGUCUACAGCAACACCGCCCAGCUGGUGGACGACGCGCCCACCGACGAGGAACUCCAUCCGAAGGACUUCGUGCCGGGCAACAUCAUCAGCCAGAUCACGUCCGUGCGCGGGAGGCCCACGACGACGACGACGACGACGAAGCCGAGCGACAAUUCGACGGAGCGACCGCCGCCCAACGAGCUGGCCAACACGGUGCCCAUCCUCGACGCGGAGAGGCCGCCCGCCUCCGAGGAGUCCAGCGGCGAGGCCAAAAGGAAGUUCCCGUUCCGGCGACCGCAGAUCCUCACGACCAUCUCGACGGAACGACCCACCACGCAGGAGCCACCAAGAAGGUCAACGCUGAAAAACAGCCUGAAGAAUCGAAUCAAGCUGCGGACCUCGACGGAGGUGAGCGCGGAGGUGACGGAGCCGACGAUCCAGGUGAAGAACCACAAGGAGGACGCCGCGCAGCCGCAGUCGAACGACAUCCCGCUGAAGGCGCCCCGGCCCACGGUGGACUACACCCGAAGGCGCCCCACGCGGCCGCCCGGGCAGGACGCCCCACCCAGCGGCUGGGCGCUCGCCUCCUUCAAGAACUUCACGAGCCGCACCACGAGGCGCCCGCCGACCACGGAGGCGUCCCCCGUCGCCAUCACCGAGCCGCCGGCCAAAGUCAAGCCCUUCGUCGCUUGGUCCACCAGGCUCCAGAAGAUGACGACCACAGAGAGCACUGCUACAGACAUGACCACAAUGAUGGAAGAUGAAAUGGAAGUGACAACUUUUGCCCCUGACACCUUGAAAUAUGCUAGUGUUGUGAGCAGCUCACCAAGCACCAUCAGUGCCUUCAAAGACUCAUUCAAUAGCAGCAGAGUCAUUGACCAAGUGCCUUCCACAAAUUUGACUCUGAACAAGACAGUUUCCACAGAAGAAGCAAACACUAUUAGAAUAAGUACAAAUGACAAAAACCCUGCCAAUAGUAAUAGGAAUGAUGAAAAAAUGAAAGAAGACGUUACAAACCCUGAUGGUAAUGAAAAAGUUACGGAGGAAACGGAUAGUUUAGAAAAUGAAGGGAGCACGGGUUUACAUGAGUUGAGUGAUGUUGAUGUCAAAACGGUUGCAAACGAAAACAAAGGCUCCAAAGAUUUUAAUAUCACCUCUACAUCACCAUCAGUAUUAUCAACUUCAAAAAUGAAAAACGAAGUGAUGAGUGACAAAUACACUGAGGCAGAACGAAAUCCCAGUAAUCCUAAAGAAUCGUCUGCCAGUGACGAUUUUGGGAAACCAACUGAAAAGUUUUCAAUUGCCAAUGACGAGGUAGAAUUUGUUGAGGCUUCAAAUGACAGUAAUGCGCACGGGUUGGACGAAUCAAAUGAUCUCAAACCAAAACCUCUGGAAACCGUCUAUCUCACCGAUGUAAAGCCAGAAGUUGUCGCGCCUGUAAAUUCUAUCAAAGAGUCGGAAGUUUCUUCAACGAAUUCCACCUGGAAAGCUAAUAGCUCGGAAACGCAUAUUUCUGUUACUCCCACACCUAUUUCUUAUUACCAAAACAAUUCUAGUCAGUCAAAUGAAUUAAAUACCGAAAUUGAGUUUGGUACUCUCAAAGGUGCGUCUAGUCAAGACCUCGGUGAUACCAAAAAUCACCCACCGACUUCAGAUAUUCCUAACGGGAUCAAAGAAACCCAGCAAUAUCAUGAGGGAGGCUUGAAUAAAAGUCACCAGUCAGCCUUAGACAUGCUCAACAGGAUAAAAGGAACCAACGAAUACCCAACAGAAACAGAAGGAAUGUUUGAGGUGUCCUUCGACUUGCCUGCUGAUGUUAGUCCGUCCACCGAGAGAAGCAAGCUUCCUGACGUAAGUGUGUCUAAGAAAUACGCCCAGUCAACAGCCAGUGAGCCGUAUUCUAAUAGUGAGACUUCAAGUCACUCAUCACCAAGUCAUUUCAAUGAAGAAACUACAUACCAGUAUUCAACGAAUGUACCCAAUGUUUCCGAGGAAGAGAUCCCAGAUUUCGAGUUUUCAUCAAUGAAGCCUCACCUCAGUUCCGAACUGGGUGAGAACCCACUGAACACUGAUUUAUCUACUACAGAAGACAUGGUCCAAUCUGUGAUGAAUUUAACAAGCUCAAUAUCUAGUUUCGAAAUGACGCCUCAAGGCGGACUCCCUCAGAGUAUAACACCCUCACCCAGCACCCCCAUGACUACCACAAUGAGUGUUCAGUUUUUGACUCCGGCUUCUGCAAAACUUCAUUGCCGGAGAAAGACAUUUUUAGCAGAGAAAAGAGCACCACAACUACUAGCGUGGCCUCUAAUUUGGGAGAAAAAACAGGAAAACCUGUUUCAGCUAAGUGGCCUGUGUUCGCCACUUCGGAGACCACCCAUGAGCCCUCGAGCAAAAUUGAGCUAA